rnacentral:lncRNA from 1 species
CAGAACUUAGAAAUGUUCAGUAGCUUGCCUUGGGCCUCCCAAGUCCCUGGUGCACAAGGAUUCAAACCCAGGUCUGUUGGAAGCCAAGAUCCCUAGUAAAUUCCUGGGAGGCAGAAAUAAAUAGGAAAUGUAAAGGAACUGUCGUUUGGGACCUCCUGGGAUAAAUUCUUACUUCUAUAUGUCUUCCUUUCCAUCUCCACCUUCCCUGCUUGAUUUUACAGAAGGGAGUAUUUCUUCAGGCAAAAUACACUCUCUUCUGGCCUAUGAAAGAGAAAGAGAAUGGAAAGACAGCUCAUGUUUUCCUUCAGGGCAAGGAAUAAAAAUAAUAAUAGGUUUCCAGCGUGGUGGCUACCAGCAAAAUCCGAGGAUGGACAUAAAGAAUAAAAAGAAGACAAUACAAGAUUCCAGGUUGAGAAAGAUGCGGAGAACAGACACAAAACCAGGAAGGAAAACAGGAGAUUGUUAAUGAUCACCAAGAUUCUUAAAAGAAGCAAGAGUUCUUACUAAUUCAUCUAGACUCUGUUAGAAAUCUUCCAAGAGGCGACCUAACGGCAGAGCAAGUGUGUGUGUCCGGGAAGCGGGGGCCCUUCUGCUCCCACAGUGUGGGGUUACCAAGAGACACCUAUGUUUGUCCACAGACCGGUUUUGCCACUUGUACUUGUUUUCCUUAUUAUGUAAACCAGUGAAAUAUGAGUGAGAAAAAGAAUCAUAAGAGCCAAACCGAAUGCUUUUAAUAAAUAGUAGAGGGGAAAGUAGCUUUACUGCUGG